rnacentral:rRNA from 1 species
AGCGAACGCUGGCGGCAGGCUUAACACAUGCAAGUCGAACGGGCGUAGCAAUACGUCAGUGGCAGACGGGUGAGUAACGCGUGGGAACGUACCUUUUGGUUCGGAACAACCCAGGGAAACUUGGGCUAAUACCGGAUAAGCCCUUACGGGGAAAGAUUUAUCGCCGAAAGAUCGGCCCGCGUCUGAUUAGCUAGUUGGUGUGGUAACGGCGCACCAAGGCGACGAUCAGUAGCUGGUCUGAGAGGAUGAUCAGCCACAUUGGGACUGAGACACGGCCCAAACUCCUACGGGAGGCAGCAGUGGGGAAUAUUGGACAAUGGGCGCAAGCCUGAUCCAGCCAUGCCGCGUGAGUGAUGAAGGCCCUAGGGUUGUAAAGCUCUUUUGUGCGGGAAGAUAAUGACGGUACCG